rnacentral:rRNA from 2 species
GAUUUCUGGUUGGAUGCGCCUGGCCCGCCACGGUUUCGUGUGUGAGUGCCGGUCGUGCGUCUGCCAUCCUUCUAGCCGCUGCCGUCUGUCCGCAAGGAUGGGCGCGCACAGCUAGAUCUUUUACUUUGAAAAAAUUAGAGUGUUUCAAGCAGGCAUGUUGCUAUGAAUACAUUAGCAUGGAAUAAUAAUUUAGGACUUCGGUUCUAUUUUGUUGGUUUCUAGAACUGCAGUAAUGAUUGAUAGGGACAGUUGGGGGUGCUAGUAUUCAGUGGCCAGAGGUGAAAUUCUCGGAUUCCCUGAAGACUAACUUAUGCGAAAGCAUU